GACAGAGAGUCUCAAAAAAAAAAAAAAAAACAAAGAAAAAGAAACUCUCAGGGGGACAGUGGUGUUAACGGUGUCGAAUCUGUGAGCCUCAUUAGUAGCCCUCCAAUGCCAUAUUUGGCUUUUAAAAAUGCCCUUCCUAAUGCUGAGCUAAAGUCUGUCCCUUGGUACAUCUUGUUCUAACCCCCUCAGCCACCAGACACUUGAAGCUGUCCUCAACCUUUCUCUCUUCAAGACUCUCUUUAUUCCUUCAAGCAACUUUAUAACCCCCAAAUUUCCUGGCUUUGUGACCCGCUUCCCCGUUUCUAAAUCUUCUUUUCUGCUCCUUCCCAGCGGUUCUCUUGUCUGCCCACAUCUUCCUUUUUUCUGUGAUCCCUCAAAUUCUUUUCCUUUUGUCUUCCUUAAAUCUCUCCCCACUUUACUGCCACCACCUACCCUCUGUCCAUGCAGCCUGGGUUUACGUUGGCCUUUCUCACAGUCAUGUGCCCUGCUAAUUUGUAACAUACCUCCCCUAAAAUAAAUCCACAAAAUAAACACCCAGGCUAUGCCCAGUGGGAGCUGGGAAGGCAGCCUCCCCAUUUCUACCCGGGAAUAGUUGCAGGCAGAGUCCUGCCUCUGCUGGCUGAGCAUGGUCAACAGGUGAUGGUGGCCCCGCAUUGCAGGCUCUUGGCCUUGGAAGAACUAAGCCACUAGGCUGCUUAUUCUGGCUUCUCUGCCCUGUGAAUUAAUGGCCACUAGUGCUUGGACCAGAGUAGCUAUUGGAGGCCUUUGGAAAAACUCAUGAGAUUUUUAAACAAGGGAAAAAAAACAAAUACCAUUAAAAAAUUUACUUCCCCCCCAUGUACGGCCUUUUGAUAUGUAAGAAAGAAAUUAUAAAACAAAAAUGGGUGCUAAAUCACUUAAUUUGACAGAAUCAGAUUUUUGUUGUUGUUGUUGUUUGUUUUUGAAAUAUUUGCUUUGUUUAUCUCGUGCAUCUGUGAUGGAGGCAAAAUUGGUUUUGGGGUAUGCAGUGUGCAAAAAGUCUUAGUUGUGACAGGGUCCUGCAGUACAUAAACAGAUAAUGGGGUAUAGCUAUAUGUCCGUGGUAUAAAAAUAUCAUGGGGAGGGGCAAAUAAGAAGUACAUGUCUGAAGAAGCUAAGAGGGGAGUGAUCAUGAAAAAAACAAAGGUUGAGAAAACCGUAGCUUCUAUGCCAUUUUUUUUUUUUCAGGUCUAGCUUAACCAGAACACUUAAAACUGUUACCAAAAAUCUUUCAACAACACUUGUGGUCACUUAACCAAUGUUCCCAUCAGUCUACCGUGUCCCACAGUGGUUAGCCUCUCCAAGCCGCAGUACUAGGUCAGUACUUGCAGCCAUGCUGCCUGCUCCUGCUCUGAAAAGCUUGUUCUUAGGCACCAAGGUCAGGGAGAGAAGGUGGGGAACACACACACACAUAAAACACACACUAAAUAUGACCCUCAGGAUGGCUAAAUUUUUCCAGUUUAGGGAAAGGACACAGUGGAAUUCUGCACUCUCUAAACUGCUUUUUUAGACCAUUUUGUAACCAACUGUAAGGCAGAUUUGUGACAAAAUUUACAUGAAACCAACACAAAACAGAUUUCUUCAUAGCUGGUGCUUUUUUUGCUUUUUGGGUUUUUGUUUUUGUUUUGUUUUGUUUUGUUUUUGAGACAGAGUCUCACACUGUAGACCGGGCUGGAGUGCAAUGGCGUGAUCUCUAGCUGGUGCUUUUUAUUUGAUCAACUUUUGAAGUUUUUUUGGAGUUCCAUUAGGGUUAAAAUCACUAGUAUAGAGUCAAAUUGGACAACCCCAGCCUUCUUAAACUAAUCAAUCUAGACAUUUGGAGCAGAAAGGGAUAAAUAGGAUCAUCUCAUUCAGCGACCUCAUUUUAGAAGAAACUGAGGCAGAGAGGUGUAGGGUCUGACCUAAGGCCACUUGACAAGACCAUGGCUAGAAGCAACCUGGGCUGUUAGCCCCAGGCAUUUUGUCUUAGAUCCCACUGCUCCAGUUUGGGACAUCAAGUUACAGGAAAUAGAGUCAUUAGUGUCAAAACCCCCCAACAGAACAAGAAAUUCCAUCUCUCAUUCUUGAACAUGGGGAUUAAAGAUGUCAUUUGAGCAUCUCAUCCCUCUGCUGGGCGAUUUUUUAGAGAAGAGCAGCGCUUGAGCCAGCACAUGACGUCACUGGCCUGGAAGCUUAAUUUUAUUUCAGUGAUUUGGUUUUUGUGAAUAGAUCACCUUCCAGUUAAGAGACACGCUUUACUCACACUAUGGGUUCUGCUCAGUUUCCUCUCAACAGCUUCCCUCUUCUUGAAGAGCAGUAUAAUAAUAACUGAUAAUUGAGGUAAAUCCAUGUCGAUUAUUUAAAAAGCAAAAAAACCUCAUUCUUACCAACACUGAAGUUUCAGCUUUCUUCCUCCUUCACCUACACAGCAGAAAACGAAGGCUGGAGAGUCAAAGGCUGUAAGCAGCUCCGGAGUGAGAAAGGCUUGCAGUGCGUUAAAGAAACAUCUCAAAACAAUCCCAAACUGCAACAUUUCUAAUUCUUGAAUUCUGAUGAACAUAAAGAGUUCUGUUUGCAAAACUUUAAACCUACAUCAGGUUGACCCCACACAGUGUUGGAACAUUGCAGCAUAAUUUCCCAGCUCAAAUAAGUUCAGUUACAAGAGCAGCUUUGGGUCGUCCUCCCCUCCUCCCAAAAAGCAAAUUUCCAUUAAGCAAAUGAUUAAUGUAGUAAAGGAAAUAACUUCAAUAUUGAGGGCAUAUCAUCAUGUUUAACUAGCUUUAUUCUCCUGCUCCUUCUCCUCCCCCAUUUGAAAUAUUAAAACUGGCUGGUAAUUCACCUAUGUGGUUAAUGGUAAGAUCUGCUUUUUCUUGAGAGCAGACCUCAGACCUCACCUAUGUAAAAGGGGCAAGUGAGCCUAUUCAAAUGCUAACCCCGGUUGAGCUGGGUAGACAAAGGGCCAGCUGGGAGACUAGUGAGUUGGGAAUGCUUGGGGAACUUGCUAGAAAUGGCUCUGGAAAAGGAAGGCAGGUGAAUACCAGUUUCUCGGGCAGAAAGAAGGUUUGCUAAGUCUAUGUAGCAAAAUCCUGUCUUCUCAGGGAGGGUCAUGAGUGCUCUCCUGGGGGGUUGGUAUAUCUCUCCGUUGCUUUGUAUGGUCUGCAGUGGCUUUUCCACCCUUGAAUCAGGGUGUAGAGAGGGAAGCUGGGGGAGGGGAAUUGAGCCGGGGAGAGUGUGUGCCGGUAGGUAACAGGUUUUCACAAUUGGGCUGUGAUGCAGAUAACGAGGCAGUUUGUAGAAGACUGUCUGAAAGACGGUCUGUGUUCCUAGAUUGCCCCUCCUGGCUACAUGUGAACGUGGUACAUUGCUUACAGUUCAGGAAACCUCCCUGUGUUGGGCUUCCGUUUAAAAAACAGCAAGAUGGGUGUGAGGUAUGGGCUCGACACGGAGGGCUUUUAAAAAACUUGUUUAUUCAUCCUGCAACAAGGCAACACGCUCAUUUCUCUAAUGAAUAAACCUAGCUUUGUGGGAAAACGGGUCUCCCAGACUACCCAGUCUGAAGAUAGCGCCCACACUUGAAAGGCACGCCAAAAAAUUCAACACAACCCCUGGUUUCUCUUGCUUGUCCCUAGAGACCUUUUGCUUCGUGAACUCAGGCUGAGACAUUACCAGAGGAAAAACUGAACGCUUAAUGUCACAGAAAGCAACACACCAUCAUUGUUUACAUUAAGUAGGAAUUUCGAUUUAUGGGCAAGCCAAAAGCAGGGCACGCCUAGCCCUUCCGCAGCCUCCAAACUUCCGAGACUAACAUUGCUGCCGCAGAAAACCACUUGCAAAUAAACUGGCUUAUCCGUAUUUAUUACGGAAGACCACAAAGGCAUCUAACCACAGUUUGCCUUGCAGACCAGCAGAACUAAGUCUUGGGCGCCGCGACGCCUUUCCUACGGAAUAGGUCCUGGAAGGAAGACCAUUUAAGGUAUUUUCCUUCUAUCAUCAUCCUUUUCUUAUGAGUUAAAAACCUGACCAUCAUUCAUUUCAAGCCCUCAAAACGCUUUACUUUUCCUCUAAAUCAUUGUCAUCCGAAUAAUUCAAGCCGGCGCAAAAUGAGACACGCACACCAGAAAAAAAAAAUUUCCAAGUCGGACGAGAUUUUUUAAAGACAUUUCACUUAUCAGUCUUUCCCCCCAGGACUGGCGAGGAGAGCACGCCUUCGCUUCCGAAGGUGCGUUACCAGAUUGCGGCCGUUUUUGUGCUGGGUCACCAGAGCAGAUUCCCCUCCAGGUUACAGAUUCUAAACUUAACUCCACCCGAGCUGAAAAUGGCCGGAGCACGCCGCCUGCCCUCCCCAAGGCUGCCGAAGCCGCCGGCCCCUGCCUCCUUUUCGACUGAUCGUCCAAGGACUGGCGCCGGAUCGAACACCUUUCCCCAGCUCUGCGGGUGCCGCGCUCUUUGGAAACGAAUUACUUCAGUGUGCUGAAAGUUCUCCCAUUGAGAGCACUUGCAGCUGGGUGAACUAUCUACAUGAAAGUGACAUUUGCUCAUCUGUCUUUCUUGCUGAAGUUAUCGUCUAAAGGUAAGCAAAGGAACAAGCUCAGGAGAAAGCAAAUGGAGCACUCUCAGAGACCUUUCCUGGGGCUCCGGAUUGGGAGGAACAAGGCCUGUGGCCACCAGUUGUCGUGGCUUUAUGCAGCAGCAGCAGUGACAGGGACUCUGGGCUUCCACACUCCCCUCUCGCCCAUGCCGGGAGCAAUGCAGGCUCUUCUAGCAGGGCUAGGAUGCCCCACAGCUCUGGGCCUUGAACAGGGUAGGGGUCCAUUCAGACUGGGGUUGCUGGCCUAGGGUUAUGAGUGGCUUUUGUUGGCGGAGACUACAGUUAAACCCAUCUAAGUGCCAAAGUGCCUUAGAAAUUAGAACAAAAAGUACAGUCCCUUAGGAAUAUCGAGGUCAUUUUUGCUCAGACUUCAAUUAUUUUCACACCACCUUCAGUUUUUGCCAUAUUCCUAUACUGAAACUGCACUUCACCGUUCUCUCUAAGUCAGCUAUUUCUUUAUGUAAAUACAUUUGUUUUUAAAGGAAAGUUAUGCAACUGCUAUUGAAAGAUUACCAGUAUCACUGGCUUCUGGUUAAGUAUUUUAAAAACACUCAUGAAGACAAGUGCGUGCUCUGAAAAUGGCAACAUGGCUGAUGCCCCUCCAGGCACAGCCCUGAGCACCUCCUUGAUCCUGUCCCCCAUCCACCCAGUCUCUUCAUUGACCUGAGAAACACUCGUCUGGGCUCUAGGAGAGAUGGUGAGAGAUGGUCUUGUAUGACACAAAGAUUUCCCACUAAAGGGGACAAAUGAUUUUUUGCCCCCCGUAUCUGGUCAGGUGCCUCUUAGCUGAGAAGUGGUAGGAAGAGUUCUUAUUCCUUCCAGCGGAAGCCUGUUGAGUUUCAACAGGGCUCAAUUACUUGGGGCACAUUUUCUUCCCGUGACAUUUGUCGUCUAAUAAUAAGUCAACAGAUGGAGUUGUCUUGAUCUGCCUUUACCAUGACAUUUGCUCCCACUUCACAUGUUUAUGUUUGCAGAUGCAGCCAAGAAACAGUCGGUAGAACUGUCCCAAAGCCCAGCGAGAUGAGCCCGGGCGCUUCUCACUUCCUGCUGGCAUGCUCUGAAGCAGUGUUCCAGCCAGCAGGCCUCUCACAGAACCCAUCCACUCACCUCUGUUCUCACUCCCGGCUUUUCUGGGGAUUGGGUGUGGGGAGCUGGGUCUGUUCUCCCAUUGUGCUCUCUGUUCUUGAUAGGAUGCCAGAAAGUACAAUGCUCUCUUCAUCAAGUUCAAAAACAGGCAAAACCAAGUAAUGCAUACGUGAUAGAAUGUUUACAGCCAGCAGACGAUAAACUCAGCUUCUGCAUUUGGUUUCCUCUGGCAGGGGCGACCACAAGGAGUGGGAGAAGGACAUUCUGCUGGAUGAAGUUCCUGGCUGUGUUCUUUCUUGGGUUCGGCUGCAUAGGGUCACAGGGGUUGAAUGACAAUAUUUUUAAAUACUAACUUUUAAAAGUACAUGUUCGGACUGCCUCCAUGGGUCAGUGGCAUGGACAGCUGAAACCAACCCAGGGCAUUUGGGGAAUGGUGGGCCUGCUGUGCUAUGGUAAAAGGAGGCCAUAGUUUUGAGGCUGAGCUGUUGCUGACCAGCGUGGUGGGACUUUGCUCACCUUUCUUCUUUCUAUACAAAUUAAGAAUCCUCAGAAGAGUUCUUAGCACAUAUUAGGCCCUCAGUAAAUAUUUGUUGAACAAUUUUUCACUUGUGUAUUUUUAACCUUGUUGUUACGGAAAUUUUCAAGCACACCAAAGCAGAGAGGAGGCCAGCGCAGCUGCGCUGCCCGUCAGCUCUGGUUUCCUCUGUCACCACACCUUUUCUUCUGGAGCCCUUCACAGCAAAUCCCAGAAAUCAUAGUGUUUCACCCCUGGCAGUUUUGGGCAGUAGAGUGGGUUCUUCUGUUCUGGAUUUGUGGCUCUGAUCCACCUAACAGUUUGUUCUUCCGGGGUCUUUUAGGAUAUGUUGAAACCGACCUCUUCUUCCCCAAAGACAGCGUGUCAGGAAAAUGAGGCCUUUCUCUGUAUCUCCCCGCUGGGGAUUUCCUCACUGCAUAGGCCUCAGAGAAGAAUCCAUGGCAGUUGUGACCACAGCUAGGCCUUGCCUCCUUCAGGGCCCUGUACAUGAAGGCUCAGAAGAUCCCCUCAUCUUCUGAAGAAGUGAGAGUCUCCUCCUGUGGGCUUCCAAGGGACACCGUGGUUAGCCGUGCUCGCACAGCCUGCCCCAUACUCAGGCUUCUUGGCACAGAGAAGCCCUUCCUGAUUUAUGGUGCCUACCACGUUCUAGGCAUUAGAGAAAUGCAUUAAUUUACUCUUCCUUGCAAGCUUGUGGGGAAACUGAGGCAUACACAGGUCAAAUAGCUUGCCCAAGGCCACACAGCAGGAAAGUCGUGGAGUCUGGAUUUGAACUCCAGUGGUUAGUCAGGCUCCAGAGGUUGCCUUUCAAACCACUGUCCUCAAAUGCUGCCUGGAAAAUGACGGAGCUGAUGGAGGGGUCCGAGGUGAUGCUCUGGUGAGUCGGGAGCCUGCCAAGUCACAGGAGCUGGGGAAAGAGCCCACUGGACAGAGGGGACAGCCAGUGGAAAGCCCCUGAGGUGGGAAAGAGCUGGCCAUGAACUAUAGGGAAGCAGGAAACCAGUCUGGCUGCAGGAAGUGAGCAGGUGCAGGGGAAGGAGCUGGGGUAGCUGAGGAGGCAGCACCAUAAGGGCAGCCUGUGGCCGUGGCACUGGGGUCUGAUUCCAAGUGCAGUGGGAGGCCCUGAGGCUUCUGACCAGGGCCCUGCUGGCCUGAAGGUCUCCCCCACUAGGAGAUGGGAUUCUCGUGGCAAGAGGAAAGCCGGGAGAGCAGGAGCUGAGCUGCCCCACAUUGGGUAGCUGGGGUCUGUUCACUGAAGGGGAUCUGAUAUGGUUUGGCUCUGUGUCCCCACCCAAAUUUCAUCUUGAAUUGUAACUCCCACAAUUCCCACGUGUUGUAGGAGGAACAGGGUGGGAGGU